rnacentral:rRNA from 1 species
AGCGAACGCUGGCGGCAGGCCUAACACAUGCAAGUCGAGCGCCCGUAGCGAUACGGGAGCGGCAGACGGGAGAGUAACACGUGGGAACGUACCCUUUGGUUCGGAACAACACAGGGAAACUUGUGCUAAUACCGGAUACGUCCGUAAGGAGAAAGAUUUAUCGCCGAAGGAUUGGCCCGCGUCCGAUUAGCUAGUUGGUGGGGUAAAAGCCCACCAAGGCGACGAUCGGUAGCUGGUCUGAGAGGAUGAUCAGCCACACUGGGACUGAGACACGGCCCAGACUCCUACGGGAGGCAGCAGUGGGGAAUUUUGGACAAGUGGGGGGAACCCGU